rnacentral:rRNA from 1 species
GCCUUUGCCACCCGGUCCGCCUAUUUGGGUGUGUACUGGAGUGGUGGAGGCUUACCUCGUGGUGAAUGGUCAUGCCCUUUAUUGGGUGUGGUCGGGAACCAUGACUUUUACUGUGAAAAAAUUAGAGUGUUCAAAGCAGGCUUACGCCCGAAUACAUUAGCAUGGAAUAAUAAAAUAGGACGUGCGGUCCUAUUUUGUUGGUUUCUAGGAUCGCCGUA